rnacentral:rRNA from 1 species
AUUGAACGCUGGCGGCAUGCUUUACAUAUGCAAGUCGAACGGCAGCGCGGGCUUCGGCCUGGCGGCGAGUGGCGAACGGGUGAGUAAUACAUCGGAACGUGCCCAGUAGUGGGGGAUAGCUCGGCGAAAGCCGGAUUAAUACCGCAUACGACCUGAGGGUGAAAGCGGGGGAUCUUCGGACCUCGCGCUAUUGGAGCGGCCGAUGGCAGAUUAGCUAGUUGGUGGGGUAAAGGCCUACCAAGGCGACGAUCUGUAGCUGGUCUGAGAGGACGACCAGCCACACUGGGACUGAGACACGGCCCAGACUCCUACGGGAGGCAGCAGUGGGGAAUUUUGGACAAUGGGCGAAAGCCUGAUCCAGCAAUGCCGCGUGUGUGAUGAAGGCCUUCGGGUUGUAAAGCACUUUUGGCGGGAACGAAAAGGACUGUGCCAAUACCACGGUUCGAUGACGGUACCCGCAGAAUAAGCACCGGCUAACUACGUG